rnacentral:rRNA from 1 species
UACGUAGGGUGCGAGCGUUUGUCCGGAAUUACUGGGCGUAAAGAGCUCGUAGGUGGUUUGUCGCGUUGUUCGUGAAAUCUCACGGCUUAACUGUGAGCGUGCGGGCGAUACGGGCAGACUGGAGUACUGCAGGGGGAGACUGGAAUUUCCGGUGUAGCGGUGAAAUGCGUAGAUAUCGGAAGGAACAUCAGUGGCGAAAGCGACUUCCUGGACCAGUACCGACGUUCAGGCACGAAAGCGUGGGGAGCAAACAGG